GAUGAACGCUGGCGGCGUGCCUAAUACAUGCAAGUCGAGCGAACGGACGAGAAGCUUGCUUCUCUGAUGUUAGCGGCGGACGGGUGAGUAACACGUGGAUAACCUACCUAUAAGACUGGGAUAACUUCGGGAAACCGUAGCUAAUACCGGAUAAUAUUUUGAACCGCAUGGUUCAAAAGUGAAAGACGGUCUUGCUGUCACUUAUAGAUGGAUCCGCGCUGCAUUAGCUAGUUGGUAAGGUAACGGCUUACCAAGGCAACGAUGCAUAGCCGACCUGAGAGGGUGAUCGGCCACACUGGAACUGAGGCACGGUCCAGACUCCUACGGGAGGCAGCAGUAGGGAAUCUUCCGCAAUGGGCGAAAGCCUGACGGAGCAACGCCGCGUGAGUGAUGAAGGUCUUCGGAUCGUAAAACUCUGUUAUUAGGGAAGAACAUAUGUGUAAGUAACUGUGCACAUCUUGACGGUACCUAAUCAGAAAGCCACGGCUAACUACGUG
rnacentral:rRNA from 1 species